UGGCUGGGCUGAAAGUCAGAUGACU
rnacentral:piRNA from 1 species